rnacentral:rRNA from 1 species
GACGAACGCUGGCGGCGUGCCUAAUACAUGCAAGUAGAACGCUGAAGGAGGAGCUUGCUUCUCUGGAUGAGUUGCGAACGGGUGAGUAACGCGUAGGUAACCUGCCUGGUAGCGGGGGAUAACUAUUGGAAACGAUAGCUAAUACCGCAUAAUAGUAGAUGUUGCAUGACAUUUGCUUAAAAGGUGCAAUUGCAUCACUACCAGAUGGACCUGCGUUGUAUUAGCUAGUUGGUGGGGUAACGGCGCACCAAGGCGACGAUACAUAGCCGACCGGAGAGGGUGAUCGGCCACACUGGGAGUGAGACACGGCCCAGACUCCUACGGGAGGCAGCAGUAGGGAAUCUUCGGCAAUGGACGGAAGUCUGACCGAGCAACGCCGCGUGAGUGAAGAAGGUUGUCGGAUCGUAAAGCUCUGUUGUAAGAGAAGAACGAGUGUGAGAGUGGAAAGUUCACACUGUGACGGUAGCUUACCAGAAAGGGACGGCUAACUACGUG